rnacentral:lncRNA from 1 species
UCCUUUGUUGUGUGGAGUUUGCAAACCAAAGGAGGCUCACUGGACACCUGCUUCUCAACAACACGAAGGGAACAUGAGCCCGGACCCUAGCGCUACCGAGGGUGCGGUCAGUCACUGGUGCAUUUGGUUGCACAAAAUCGUCAGAUGCAAGGCCUGAUUCUACUUGGCCAGGAACCCUACCCGUCCAGGACUUUGUCACUGAAAAGCUUGGAACCAGAAUGUGAACUCCCUGCUAGCAGGACCGUGGCUGUCCGUGGACAGCUGUGAUAGAGGAUCCAGAACAG